GUAAAAAGGUCAUUUCCGUGUGCCGGCGGCGCACAGCGUGGUUUACGAGUGUUUAUUGUGUAAUGUGGUAAUAUUCAAGAGUGCCAGAACGGGGAACAGUUACGCUGUUACGCAAACGGUGCAACAGUCGUAGGAGUGGCAUUUGUUGCAGAAUUGGAAGAGGAACUUGUAGAAUUCGUGGAUCCUGCUCCGUGUUGUAUUUUAACAUAAACUACAACAUCCCAUGGUAGGAGGUAGUUUGUAUUGGGCCAGAAACCAGGUUGAUGGCUUUCAGACAGUCCCAUGUUGUGACUGUAGAGGGAACUGGUACCGUAAUUAACCAGAGACCAACUUGGGUAUUCAGGAAGAAGACCUGGAGGUGAGGGGUGUGGAAGCUGAAUGGAACCUCACAGGAAAGUCAUUCUUGCACCAAAUUGGCUCUAAAAAUUGAACAGGACCUUGUAGGAGAGUCAUUCUUUCAACAAAUUGCGGAAGCCAUAAAAUUGGCACUUUUGUGUUUCGAGGCACUGAUUUCUGUUGGUUUUAGAGAUCUAGAAAUUGAACGGAACUUUGUAGGAGAGUCAUUCUUGCCACAAAUUGGCUUUACAAAUUGAACGCCAGCUUGUAGGAGACUCAUUCUUUCAUCAAAUUGGCACUAGAAAUUGAACGGGACCUCGCAGGAGAGACAUUUUUACAUAAAAGGCUGUAGCAACUGAAUGUGAUCCCUAAGUGUGGCCGAACUCGCAUUAUGUUAGUUUGUGGAAACGCGUGUGCGCUCAAUAAUACGAGUUUCAUUGACGACAGAACAAGCGAAUAAAUAGAAUGUGAUGUUUCAUUUUAUUUGUUGAAUUAAUACACAAUUUAAGCACAAUGGUUUUGUUUUUCUAAUAAACGAUUUGCAUCUUAA